UCAUCAAAAUAAAGGGUUGAAGUAGAUUAACAUUUUCUUAUUACAAAAGCAAAUUAUGCGAUUUAUAGAAAAAUCAGGAAAUACAGGCAAAGAACAAAAUGAACACUCACGCUCCCUUCCCACGGAUAAGCACUGUUACCACUUAAGUGUUUAUUCUUGCACAUCUUUUUUUGCUAUGUAUACAUAUAUAUUUUACACAAAAACGCAAUCAUUGCUAUGUUAUUUCACAGUCUGCUUUGUUCACACAUCAGUAUGAUGUCUGCUGAGCAUUCCAUUUUAUGGAUGUACCAUAAUUUACCUACCAAAUGCCCAGUGUUGCCCAUGAGCAGUGUCUAGUUUGUCUCUUUUAUAAACGGUGCUCUGGUGGUUUAUCCUGUUAGUUACAUUUUUACACACAUCCUUAUCAUUUUCUUAGAAUAAUUUCCUAAAAGCAUACUUGUUCAGUUAAAAAAUUGUAACAUUUCUUUAAAAUUAAAAUGAUGAGUUUGGGACUUUAGAGUUUUAAUUCAUGGCUCAAGAUCUGCAAAGGGACCUGAUAGCUUCUAUGGUAGCCCUGAAAGAAUACCACUUCCUGUAGUUGUGGGGCUGAGAUUUUGAAAACCAAACCCAAAGUCUCGACCUGCAGUAUGUGAGGAAAGAGUUACUAACAGGUUACGCCUACGUGACGAGCCCCUUCUGACCUGAGACUAAAAUAGGCUUCCUUGGGUGGUGCUCCACGCUUUCCCCACAGUUCGGUUUGCUGUUGGGAAGAGAGGGCUCCUGUACUCCUGUGUGGAUGGGGAAGAAUGCAGAGACUUGUGCUGGGCCCCUCUGGACUCCACCAAUGCGUAUCGUUCUGCUGCUUCUGCCGGGUAUCAUUUGCUGGAAAAAAAUUGAACUAUGAGUAUAACUAGUUACUGGGUCUUAUGAGUCCUUUGGGCGUUGAAUUACAACAUAAGUUGAAUUCCCAUCCUCACAGAGUCUUUUUGUUAGAGGUUAGGGUAUUUGGGGGGAAGGAGUGAAAGUUUGAACAUUAGGGUAUGUCAUAUGGGCAGAUUCCAGUGAACCUGGGACCUCAAAGCUUUUUUGCCAUUGGGAGCAGCCCUUCCAUCCCUGUCUGAGGAGGUUAGUCUCUUGCCCUAAGAUCCUAUAGCAAAUUCCCAGACUUGCCUAAGGCCCCUGUUCCUGCUACAUUGUAUUCUCUCUCAACCCACACCCAUGCCUUCAUGGGAUUCCCUAUGAUGUGUUGACUGAGGAAGAAAAGUCUCAGGCUUGGUUUGUAGGUGGUUCUGUGCGAUAUGCAUGCAUCGCCUGAAAGUGGACCGCUUUGGCACUGGAGUUCCUCUCUGGGACAGCCCUGGAAGGUGGUGGUGAAUGGAAAUCCUCCUGCUGGACAGAACUGGGAGCAGUGCACCUGUUUAUUUUGCCUGCAAAGAGAUGGCCAGAAGAAAGGGUCUGCCCUGAGUCAUGGUUUGGUUGGGUCGUUGAACUGGAAGGAGCACAACUGGAAAAUCGAGAGGUCUGAGGAUAGAGCUCUCUGAUUGGCAGAGGGUGAAGAUGUUUGGGUUCCAUGUGAAUGCUCACUGAAGGGCAGGGGAAGGGUUUAAUAAUCGGGUGGAUGGGAUGACCCAUUUGGUAGACAUCAGACAGCCCCCUUCCCCAGCAACUCCUGUGGACUUGUGAACAUAGUGGCCCUGGUGAUAGUGAUGGAGGCUAUGCAUGGCCUCAGCAACAUGAACGUGUGUUCGCCAAGACUGAACUGGCUACAGCUACUGCUCAGUGCCCAACCUGCCAGCAGGAGACAGCGCUGAGCCCCUAAUGUGGCACCAUUGCCGCAAGGAAUCAGCCAGCUACCUGGUGUUAGGUUGAUUACAUUGGACCACUUUCAUUUUGGAAGAGGCAGCAAGUUGCUCUUACUGGAAUUGACACUUGCUCCGGACAUAGAUUUGCCUUCCCUGCCCACAAUGCUUCUGCCAAAACUACCACCUGUGGCCUUACAGGAUGUCUCAUCCGCCAUCAUGUUAUUCACAGCAAAUGAAAUACAGCAGUGGGUUCGUGCUUUUGGGAUUCAGUGGUCCAACCCUAGUCUUCAUCAUCUCAAAGCAACUGCUUUGACAGACAAUUGAAUGACUUUUUGAAGAUUCAGUUAUAUUGCCGAAUAGGUGGUGACAUCUUGCAAGGGCUGGGGCAGUGUCCUCCGGUUUGUGGUAAAUUCUCUAAAUCAGCAUCAUGUUUCUCCCAUACCCUGGAUUCAGAAGUUCAGGAAUCAAGGGAUAAAUAUGAAAGUCAAUCCUCUCAGUAUUAACCCUAAUGAUCCAAUAGUCAGAGUUUUGCUUCCCAUCUCUGCAGUUUUAGCAUCUGCUGGUGUAGAGAUCUUGGAGAAAUGCUUUCACAAGGAGACACAGCAAAGAUUGCAUUAAAUUGGAACUUGAAGCUGCCAUCUGGCCUCUUUGGACACUGAAUCAAUAGGCAGAGUACUGGCUGGGGUGAUUGACCUGACUAUCAAGGGGAAACUGGGUUGCUGCUGAGCGGUGCGGGUAAGAAGGGGUACUGCAGGAGACCCUUUGGGGUGCCUCUUAGUACUCCCAUAUCCUCUGAUUAAGAUCAAUGGAAAACACAUAAACAACAAGGUCCUACUACUGUAUAGCACAGAGAACUAUAUUCAGUAUCCUAUGAUGAAAGAUAUUAAAGAAUAUUAAAAGAAUAUAUAUAACUGAAUCACUUUUCUGUACAGCAGAAAUUAACACAACGUUGCAAAUCAACUAUACGUCAAUAAAACAAACAAACAAAAAUCAGUGGAAAACUACAACCACCCAAUAUAGACUGCUAACGUCCCAUAUCCUUCACAAAGGGCUUGAGUCAUUCCACCAGGCAAGGAGCUAUGACGACGGAGGUGUUUGCUGGGCAAAAGAAAUAUGGAAUGAGCAGUAGAUGAUGAUAGUUACAAAUACUAGCUGUGGCCUUGUGACCAGCUGUAGAAUGAGGACUCUAAUAGUUUAAAGUAUUUCUUCUUUAUUUUGAUGUGACUAUAUUUUAAUAAAUAUUAACUAAAAAUUUUUUAUCUCCUCUCUCAAACUCUUAUCAUAUAACCUGAGAUGUGCUCAUAAUCACUUUAUAUGUAAUUGUUUUAAGUUACAAGAUGUCAAAACAGGAGUGUGAAUCAGCUAGGAAAAGAAUGAAUGUUAUCCAAAGACGAAAAAGGGACCUUGAUGCUCUCCUGGGGAUGAGUUUAGAAUGGUUUUGGUUGUAAGAGGGAUAGUGUGUCAUGUUAAGCAGAAGCAUAGCUUUGUUUUUGUCUUUAUUUGGAGAUUAAAUGGUGUUUCGGGCAACGUGUGGGUGGCCAGUUGAGAAGGGGUAGACUGUAGUCUUUGUAAUGUUUCAACUUGCCUUGGCCAAACUCUGUUUUCCAGAGUUAAAUUUCCGCUAUGUUUCUGAUUAGAGUGGCCUAGAAGACUGGAGAUUCUAUGACCUUUGGAGGGUGGAAAUUGAUUUUUCCUAGUUAGGCCAGCUGCUGUUUCACCUUGUGAACUGUUGUCUUCUCAUCUGUUUCUUAAUUUCUUAUUUCAUGAGCUCAGUGUUUGCUUUAAUUUCCUUGAGAGGAAGCAAAGUGUUUAGAGUUUCCUAGUACAAACCUUCCAAGGAAUGUUUCUCAUCUGUUUCAUCUGUCUUUUGUAUUUUGUGUUGAUUUCCUCCAUUUUAGUUGAGGUUGGUUGUGUGUGUGUUUUUUCGUGUUUAUUGUGUUUGCUUGUUUAUGUAUACUUAUCUUUGAAUGAGGGUAGUUAUAGAAUAAUCUCGUUCCCCAUCCUGUUCUUUUGGUUAAUUUUUAGCUUGUCCCCUUAGUUCUUAUUCCGGAAGAUUGGAUGUUGUGUGUCCAUAUGGUCUGUUUAGUUGUUCAGGUGCCUAAGGGAGGUGGAUGCUGGGAUCUUGAGCAAUAAGAACAGAUCUUCCUCGACUUUGAUGGGGUUACAUCCUGAUAAAUCCAUCGUAAGUUGAAAAUAAGUCAAAACUGCAUUUAGUAUACCUAACCUACCUAGCUUACCUAGCUUAGCCUAACCUACCUUAAACGUGCUCAGAACACUUCCAUUAGCCUGCGGUUGGGGACAGCCAUCCAACACAAAGCCUGUUUUAUAAUGAACUGUUGAAUAUCUCAUGUAAUUUGUUGAAUACUGUACUGAAAGGGAAAGAACGGUUGUCAGUGUCUCAUGAUCGUGUGACCGACAGGGAGCUGUGGCUGCUGCUGCCCAGCAUCACAAGAGAGUGUUGUACCAGGUAUCGCGGCCCGGGGAAAGAUCACGAUUCAGAAUCUGAUGUACGGUUUCUACUGAAUGCGUAUUGCUUUUGCACCAUCUAACGUCGAAAAAUUUUAAGUCAAACCAUUGUAAGUCGUGGGCUGUCUGUAUCGGGAACCUUACUUGGGGCCCUUAUUCACUCAUGGCAGAGGCACCUAGGUUUUCUUGUGGUCCCCUGCUGCAGGAUGGACCAAACACUUUGGUUUUUUUCUUUGUUUUUGUUUCUUUGGUUUUUUUGGACCAACCACUUUGGUAAGAAGCGAAGUCCAGAGAGACCUAGGGACUCCUUAUUUGAUGGAUUAGUAUUAGUUCCCUAUUGCUGCAUAAUAAAUCACCCAGAAAUGUGGUGACUUAGAACAUUAGUAUCUGAUCGUUUCUGUAGGUCAAGUUGGGGUCUCUCCUGGGGCUGCCAUCAAGCUAUUGGCCAGAGCUGCAGUCAUCUCAAGGCUCAACUGGGGAAGGAUCUGCUUACAAGCUCGCUCAUGAGAUUGUUGGCAAGACUCAGCUCAUCACAGGCAGUUGGACUGAGGGCCUCUCUCAGUUAUUUGCCAUGUGAAUCUCUCCGCAGGGCAGCGCAUGACGUGGCAAAGUGAGAGAGAAGAAUCGGAGAGAAAGUGAGCAAGGUACAGGUCACCGUCCUUUAUAGCCGAAUCCCAGUGUGCUAUCUUAUCACCUUUGCCUAUUCUAUUCUUAAGAAGCAAGUCAGUAUGUCCUGCCCCGUUCAAGUGGAGGGAAUUACACAAGGGCAUGAAUACAGGAAGCAGACAUCGCUGAGAGCCAUUGAGAGACUGUCUACCAGAUGUAGUUCACUGUUGCAGAAGUCUGGGGAGCAACGUCUUCAAUGAUAGCAAGAACAAGAAUUGUAUUUCUCACUAGGAGCUGUGCCCCUGACUUAGGGCCAUCUGUUGCAAGUUAAUCAACUCAUGAACAAACUUAUUUCACCUAGUCUACCCUCCAUCCCCUGAAGUGGACUAUUUUAAAGCAUAUCCCAUGCUUCAUGUCAUCUGAUUAGUGUGCCCGGAUCAUAGGACUUCAUUGUAUCUGCCAAGGAGCAGGGAGAGGGGAGAUCUAGCCCGCUUCAGACCCCAAGACUCCUCCAGCAGAGGAUUCCCUCUUGAUGGUGGUAAGUCAAAAAAGCUGACUUUCCAUUUUAAGUGGUAAUAACAGUAAUACAAAAGAGAGAGAGGGUAAUCAGGAAAAGCUUUUGUAUAGGAAAAAGGAUUAAACUGAGCCCUAUGAGGUGGGUUGAAUGUAGGUACCUAAAGAAACAAGAGAAUAGGAUUUAUUUUUUAUUUCUAAUAUAAUAAAUAAGUAUAAUAGUAAGAAAACUUGGAAAAUUAAGAAAUGUAGGAAAAAUAGCCAUUAAAAUUCUUAUUAACCAAAAAGCCAUUGGGGUUUGGAUUUUAAUGUUUGAUUUUUGUGUUUUGUUUACUUGUUUUUUGUUUUUCUUUCUGUAUAUAGGUUAAUUGUAACUGUACUACAAGUUUAUAUCCCUAUAUUUUUAGUUAACAGGGUAAGCAGUUUUCUAAGUUACCAUGGACUCUUUGUAAACAUAAUUUUUUUUUUUCUGGCUGUGUCACGUGGCUUGCGGGAUCUUAGUUCCCUGACCAGGGAUCAAACCUGGACCCCUGGACCCCAGCAGUGAACGCACUGAGUCCUAACCACCAGACUGCCAGGGAAGUCCCUGUAAACAUAAUUUUUAAUAGGUGCAUAUUUCAUUAAGGAUGUAUAGCGUGGUUUAUUUGAUCAAUCUCCCAUAUUUUGGCAUUCUGAUCCCUUUUAUUGUGUCUGAUUAUAUAUAACUAUGUAAUGAGUAUUUUUUUUGUUUAAAACUUUUUCUGAAUUUUGAGUUAAAUUGUAGCAAAAUUACUGGUAAAAGAGUACGAAUAUUAUAGAAUGGAGUAUUUCUAAUACUGAUUUUACACCAUCUUAUACUGUUAUCUCAAAAGGUGAUUCAAGCUUCUUAAGGUAAAAUUGAUAGAAACAUUAAUUUUAAGAACAUAAGACCUAGAGUGUAUGUCAUAGAAAUAUAAUUUUGGGUUUGCUUUUUUUUUUCUGGCUGUGCUUCACAGUUUGUGUGUGAGAUUUUAGUUGCCCAACCACCAGGGAAUUCCCCUACAAAUAUAAUUUUUAAGUGGGCACACAGCCAUCCAGAAAAAAAGACUACAUUUCCCAGCCUCCCUUGUAGCUAAGUGUGAUCAUGUGAUUAAGUUCCGGUCAGUGAGAUAUAAGCAGAAGUGUUCUCUUGCCAGUGGAUGGAAACCUUCCCCAAUGGGUGCUUUUUGCCUUUUUUUUUUUCCUCUUCUUUUUUUACUUUACUGGCUGGUAAUAUGCAUGCCAUCAUUUGGGAUAAUGAGCAUAAGGACAAAAGCCUAGUCACGGUGGGAGACAAGCUGGAAGAGGCCAGGGUCACUGAGAACUUUGAGGAAUGCACCCAGCAUUCCACUCCCUCCACUUCCCUACCCUUUGCAUGGGAGAGAGAAAGUUCCAUCUUAAGCCACUGGUGGUUUGGGUUUUCUACCACAUACAGCCAAACCUUAUUCUAACUGAAUAUGGCUUUAGAAACUAGGAGUAGCAUUGUUACACUCUUUUUCAUCAGCCCAGAGAAGGAAAGAGUUACUGCCCUGGCAGAAAGCAUUUCAAAUGUACUUCGAGAACACGUCAUUAGGUUUGGCUUAAGUAUUGCUGAUUCCAACAAAAAAGAAAACUUUAGUGUCAACAGCAGGAAAUCCCAAGUAAAACUAUAGGAUUCAUCAUGUCCAACUUCCAAUUUAGUUACCUCAAGUGUAAAAGGAAAAAAAAGAGAGUAGGGGUAGGGUAAAUAUAUCCCAGUUUAUCUUUUUUCCAGAGAUUCCCAUCCCUACUCCAAGAACUAUGAAAAAGUCCUCCUGAGAAAACUAAAACCAAAAAUAAAGUGGCACUGGCAUCUCUCUGGGAACACAUUUAACUCUGCUCUGAGAAGGAGAACCUGUUUUAAUUUGCUAAAGCCCAAGUCUAGCUCUGUUUUCCUCUGAGCUGGGAAAAAGAAACCACUAAGAAAAUAUCUUAAAACAAAAAUGUCAAUCUAAAAAAGAGAAACAAAAUGCCAAGUCAAAAGAAAGUCACGUUAGAAUGUAUUUUGGUGAAAGCACGGAUAACUUUGGGGCUCAGAUAUGUUGGGAAUGGGGAAUCAGGGAUUUUUGUUAUUGUUUGUCAAAAAAAAGUGCUCAUUUCUGGGGGCAGCGAAGGGAGUAAGAUGUUUUGCUGGGAUGUUUAGAAGCAAUCCUGGCCCUUGCUUUUUCCUGCCAUUAGGAAUUUGUCGGCAGUCAAAAUCAGGAUCAGAUUCAAAAGCAAAGAGCAGCCUGUAGGUGACCCUCUUCAGAAGGAAAUAGCAUCACCAAUGACGUAGCUUAAUUUGAUGCCUUCUGGUGUAAAGAACUCUCUCGACCAGAUCUCCCCACUCACUGUCCUCUCUGCAAAACCACGUGUGAUAGGUCUGACCAGUUCCUGUAAGAUGCCUUCUUUCCCUCUAACUCAUCCUGGAUUGAAGCUUUGGGUGCUUGCAAACGAGCUGUAGAGGGGCCAUCCAGUCUGUGGUUACACACGGCAAGAUGUCAGCCCGAGCCAGCUUCUUCCCGCCAGUCUGCACACCUCUGAACUACUCCAAUCAGUGUUCACCUGGGGAAAGCAAAGUUGAGUUUUGUCUUAGGCAAAGCCUAACAGAGGUAGCAAAUCUGUUUCCAAAAUAAAUCGUAUAGUGCAUCUCAAAGCCAAUGGGAUUAGAAAGAAACCUGCAAACAUCCUCAGCCAUUCUAUUAUUGAGAUAAAUAAUUAACCUUCAGCAAGUCAAAUUUACGUAUGGACUUUAGGAGGUUUCUGAUGUCAUAAGUCUUUUUUUUUUUUUUUUUUUUUGGCCGUACGCAGGCCUCUCACUGUUGUGGCCUCUCCUGCUGCGGAGCACAGGCUCCAGACGCGCAGGCUCAGCG